rnacentral:rRNA from 1 species
UCGAGCGCACCUUCGGGUGAGCGGCGGACGGGUUAGUAACGCGUGGGAACGUACCCUUUUCUACGGAAUAGCCUUUGGAAACGAAGAGUAAUACCGUAUACGCCCUUUGGGGGAAAGAUUUAUCGGAGAAGGAUCGGCCCGCGUUAGAUUAGAUAGUUGGUGGGGUAACGGCCUACCAAGUCUACGAUCUAUAGCUGGUUUUAGAGGAUGAUCAGCAACACUGGGACUGAGACACGGCCCAGACUCCUACGGGAGGCAGCAGUGGGGAAUCUUAGACAAUGGGCGCAAGCCUGAUCUAGCCAUGCCGCGUGAGUGAUGAAGGCCUUAGGGUCGUAAAGCUCUUUCGCCUGUGAUGAUAAUGACAGUAGCAGGUAAAGAAACCCCGGCUAACUCCGUGCCACCAGCCGCGGUAAUACGGAGGGGGUUAGCGUUGUUCGGAAUUACUGGGCGUAAAGCGCACGUAGGCGGAUUGGAAAGUUGGGGGUGAAAUCCCGGGGCUCAACCCCGGAACUGCCUCCAAAACUAUCCGUCUAGAGUUCGAGAGAGGUGAGUGGAAUU